UAGUCACGAGUUUGAUCCUGGCUCAGAACGAACGCUGGCGGCGCGCUUAACACAUGCAAGUCGAACGCAUGCUUGAUCUUCGGGUUGGGCAUGAGUGGCGGACGGGUGAGUAACGCGUGGGAACCUGCCCUGAGGUUCGGGACAACCGUGGGAAACUGCGGCUAAUACCGGAUAUCUCCUUUGGGAGAAAGACUUGUCGCCUUGGGAGGGGCCCGCGUCGGAUUAGCUUGUUGGUGGGGUAACGGCCUACCAAGGCAUCGAUCCGUAGCUGGUCUGAGAGGAUGAUCAGCCGCACUGGGACUGAGACACGGCCCAGACUCCUACGGGAGGCAGCAGUGGGGAAUCUUGGACAAUGGGGGCAACCCUGAUCCAGCGACGCCGCGUGGGUGACGAAGGCCUCGGUUGUAAGCCUUUCUCGGGAGAUGAUGACGGUACCCGACGGAAUAAGCACCGGCUAACUCCGUG
rnacentral:rRNA from 1 species